UACGGAGGGUGCGAGCGUUGUCCGGAAUCACUGGGCGUAAAGGGCGCGUAGGCGGCCUGAUAAGUAGGGGGUGAAAUCCUGCGGCUUAACCGCAGGGCUGCCUUCUAAACUGUCGGCUAGAGCACGGUAGAGGCAGAUGGAAUUCCCGGUGUAGCGGUGGAAUGCGUAGAGAUCGGGAAGAACAUCAGUGGCGAAGGCGGUCUGCUGGGCCGUUGCUGACGCUGAGGCGCGACAGCGUGGGGAGCAAACAGG
rnacentral:rRNA from 1 species